UUCAGCUUGGCAGAUAAAUGCAAUAAAUUUAGAAUUUAUUAAUGGAUUAUAAAUUAAGUUCAGUUGAAA
rnacentral:tRNA from 1 species